CUGAGCUCCGGCUAAUUUUACGACUGGCGAAUCGAUGAGCUGCUUAGUGGGCCAGUCUUGGUAAGCAGGACUAGCGCUGUGGGAUGAACCAAACGUGACCGGGUUAAGGGGCCUAAGUGGAUGCUAAUUCCGAUCCCAUGGAAGGGAGUUGCUUGCUAUAGACAGCAGGACGGUGGCCAUGGAAGUCGGAAACCGCUAAGGAGUGUGUAACGACUCACCUGCCGAAGCAAGUAACCCCGAAAAUGGCAUGGCGCUCUAGCUUCCCCCCUAUACCCGGCCGCCGGGCGCAAUAUGGCUGCGCGCGUUUCGACGCGAUGCGAGGAGGCCUCGAUGCCCCGACGAGUAGGAGGGCUCGGCGGUGAGCAGAGAAGGGCGUUUGGCGUGAGCCCGUCCGGAGCCGCCGCCGAUGCAGAUCUUGGUGGUAGUAGCAACACUGAAACGAGUGAGAUUUGUCUUAGGCUUCCCUCGUUGGCCGAUGCGGAGCAGGGUUUCGCGGUAACAGCAUUUGGCCGCGAGUAACCCGUGCCUAAGCCGUGGGGGAGAAUCCCCGUCGUCCAGGGCUGAGUAAACAGAGAGCCAAACCAAGUUCUUUCUUUCUUGCUUUCUUUCUUUCUCCGUAACACGAGAAGAAGAAGUAGAAGAAUCCUUGAGACUCAUCUGGAUGAGGGGUUGCGGCGAUAAGCCGAUGGGUGUCGUCGACGGCCACAAUGGCCGGCGGUAGUUGCAGCAGCANCACCACCACCACCAGCAGNGUAG
rnacentral:rRNA from 1 species